rnacentral:lncRNA from 1 species
ACAACUUCAAUUAAGUGAAACACCUGAUCAUGAUAGGAAACAGGAUUUUGAUUCAGCAAAGAGAAUUCGAGAAUUGGGAUUUUGACGAUUUGGGAAGGCGUGGCUAGGGUUUGUUCAGCGAACAACUUCAUUUAAGUGAAACACCUGAUCGAGAUUUUGAAACGGGAUUUUGAUUCGGCAAAGAAGAUUCGAGAUUUGGGAUUUUGGAAACGUGGUCGAGAUUUUGAAGAGCGUCGAAUUCUGAAAUUGAACCUGGUAAUGCUAUUUGGAGAGGAAGAAAUGC